GUGGCUACUUCAUGUUGAAAAAUCAGUACCCGUACGAUCACUUAAGUUAAGCAACGUAGAGUCAGAUCAGUACCUAGAUGGGUUACCGCGUAGGAAUAUCAGAUGCUGUA